rnacentral:misc_RNA from 1 species
GAUGAAGAACGCAGUGAAAUGCGAUAAGUAAUGUGAAUUGCAGAAUUCAGUGAAUCAUCGAAUCUUUGAACGCACCUUGCGCUCCUUGGUAUUCCGAGGAGCAUGCCUGUUUGAGUGUCAUUAAAUUCUCAACCUCAUCAGUUUUGUUAUGAAGCUGUGUGAGGCUUGGAUGUGGGGGUUUGUGCAGGCUGCCUCAGUGCGGUCUGCUCCCCUGAAAUGUAUUAGCGAGUUCCAACUGGGCUCCGUCUAUUGGUGUGAUAAUUAUCUACGCCGUGGAUUGGGCUUAGACUUGCUUCUAACCGUCCGCAAGGACAAUCUUUUGACAAUUUGACCUCAAAUCAGGUAGGACUACCCGCUGAACUUAAGCAUAUCAAUAAGCGGAGGA